rnacentral:lncRNA from 1 species
AGGGACUGAUGCCCAACUUUGAAUCAUCUUGAUCCUUGAGCUUGGGUUGAGGUGAUCCCAGAUUGCAAGUUUCUCUGGCUGCCUGACAGAAGCAAAGGCUGAAUUUGUCUCUCCGUUGUCCCUACCCUGGCCCAUGGCGUCUGCUGUGAGAGUCCACACAGUCCUGGCUCACAAACACGAUCUCCACGAGUGGAAGGGUCCUGACACCUUCUACGAGAUUUACAUUGUCAACUCGGCCCUAUUGUUUACAGGUGGUGUGCAGAAUAGGUGGUGAGCCAUGUGGAAGAGAUGGCAGAAAGAGCCUCUUGAUCUGUGAGACUUCAUACUGGCUGUGGACUAACUCUUCUACUGAUGUGAAAGAAUAAGCCUCAUCCUACUCAAGCCAUUCUAUCUGGGGCUUCUUUUUACAUAAUCCUUUUAUUUUUAUUUAGUUUUCUUUUUUUGCCCUUAAAAUUAUUGGUAAAGAGAUGGGAGCUUAUAUUCCAAGUGAGAACAAUA